GAAUAAAGUGUAUCAUCUUCAUGGUCAAAAGAACAGUCCAUGGAAACAUCUGAGCCAAUCAAUGCAGUAAAAGGAACAGUUACCCUGACUGAGCGCAAAGAUUCACCCUGAUUGACUGCUACAAAGAAAAUGUAAAUUACAAUGGAAAUGUAAAGUUGGAAAAAAUUAUUGAAUAAUGACCGGAAACUGGCCCAAUAUGAUGUUAACCAUUUCUCAACUUAAACCAACGGAACAAGAGGAAAACGAUCAACGAUGAAUAAGAUAGGCAAAAAGAAAGUUGAAAGAUGAAAUUUGAAUGGUUCAACAAUUUACAUCCAUUGCGACUAGAUGAUGGGUUGAUGAUGAUAAUGAUGGACUUGUGAAGAGUGACUUUUCUGGUCCAUCUUUGCCUUCAAUUUGAGAAAUCUGACAAAGACUAAUUACCUGAUUUUACACUUUAUCGUAAAGGUGAAGAAAAUUAAGUGCAAAAUGAAACAUGUUUCCCUCUUUGGAUGAUGCGGCUAAAGACAAGUUGAACAAAAACGUAUCUAGCAACAGAUUUGAUGAAGAUGAAACUGUUUACCGUGUUAAUCUUGUUAGUUAAAACUUGGUUGAAUAUAUUUUCAAAUGUUUCAAGUAAACAGAGACUCAAUUAAAGGUGAACACGAGUAAACCUGAAAUGAUGUUCACUUUGCAAUCGCAUCCUUUACUUGAAAGACAACAUCUUAUCAUUGUAAUAAUGAUGAUCCGAUGAUGGAAAUGAUUAAUCGAUAACAAUUAAUCAUGUUGCAUGGUCAAGGUUAAAGUGAAUCAAUGUUACGCCUGGAAAAACUAUUAUUUUGCUUAUAAAAAUACUCGCUUCUCAACUUGCCUUUUCAACUGUUCAACUGAUGGUCAAAUGAUUACCUUUUGAUAAUCAUUAUUAACAGUCCCACAUGAUGAUUGGUUAUCUUGUCAGUUUCAUCUUUUUCAUCAACAUCACAAUUUAGAUGAAAAUAUUUUCAUAACAAAGUCUAAAGGCUGCUUCAUCUUUAACCCAAUUCAAUUGACUUUACAAUCACAAGUUAGAUGGUUAAAUAUCUUAAUCAACAUCCAGUUUUGAGCAAUCUAACCAUCUAAUUAAAGCGAAUACAAUUUUGCGCUAAAUUGUGACCAUCUGUUUGUUUAAUGGUAAUAUUGGCUUUCACUUUGACCAUAUUAAUGGCUCAAGUUGUGUAUUAAUUUGAAAUGAUAAAUGUUACACUCGAGGGUUAAUUUAGUGGUUAAGGCCUGAAAAGGUGAAAGUAAAUUUAAAAUGUAAAGUCAAUUAAAUGCUAUCAAUAUGCAUUAGCCAGUAAUUAUUGGGUAAAAAUUUCAUUUUUACACUUGCAAAGUGUUAAUGUCAUGUUCAAUUGAAGCUGAUUAUUUUAUGGUGACAAGUAAAACAAGGAGGAUAAACAUGAUUAUCAGGUUGGAUGAAAGCAAUAACUUUGACCAUGUAAAGAUGAUAAAUGGUGAUAAACAUCAGUAAAUAACAAGUAAUCUAGAUGUUCAUUGACAGUUCAUCAUGGAAAAUGUUUAAUCAAAACUUGCCAGCAAUUUUGCAUCAGAAGCUUGUUUACAAAAUCAUCAUUUAACUUCAUGAGUUUCAUGAAUCUUGAAUUUCUUUCAUUUG